CUGCCCUGUGACUUAGUUUAACGGCCGCGGUACCUUAACCGUGCAAAGGUAGCAAAUCAAUCGUCCUCUAAAUAAGGACUAGUAUGAAUGGCAUCACGAGGGCCUAACUGUCUCCCCCCUCUAAUCAAUGAAACUGAUCUUCUCGUGAAGAAGCGAGAAUAUUAAUAUAAGACGAGAAGACCCCAUGGAGCUUUAAACCCAUCACCACCUGCCCCCUUUUAUACCAAAACAUUUAGCAGAUCUGUUCACAGAUGGUUUUCGGCUGGGGUGGCCCUGGAGUAAAACAAAUCCUCCAGACUGAACGGAAUAAACCCCUAAUCCUAGAAUUACAAUUCAAAGAAUCAAAAUCUUGACACAAUUGACCCAAUAAUUUGAUCAACGAACCAAGUUACCCUGGGGAUAACAGCGCAAUCCAUUUCAAGAGCCCCUAUCGACAAAUGGGUUUACGACCUCGAUGUUGGAUCGGGGUAUCCUAGCGGCGCAGCCGUUGCUAAAGGUUCGUUUGUUCAACGAUUAAUAACCCCACGUGAUCUGAGUUCAGACCGGA
rnacentral:rRNA from 1 species